UCGCACGAGAAAUUCUGUCCCGCGCAAGUGGGAUGGGAUGAGUAAAGUGGCGAACGGGUGAGUAACACGUAGCUGACCUGCCCUGAAGUGGGGGAUAACCUGGGGAAACUCGGGCUAAUACCGCAUAACACCCCGACGGCACAAGUCAUCGGGGUCAAAGGCCCGCAAGGGCCGCUGGAGGAGGGGGCUGCGGCCGAUUAGCUAGUUGGUAGGGUAAUGGCCUACCAAGGCGAUGAUCGGUAGCCGGCCUGAGAGGGCGCACGGCCACACUGGCACUGACACACGGGCCAGACUCCUACGGGAGGCAGCAGUGGGGAAUUUUGCACAAUGCCCGAAAGGGUGAUGCAGCAACGCCGCGUGGGGGAUGAAGGCCUUCGGGUCGUAAACCUCUUUCGACCGGGAAAAACGGCCCUGUGAAGAGCGGGGUCUGAUGGUACCGGUGGAAGAAGCCCCGGCCAACUACGUGCCAG
rnacentral:rRNA from 1 species